AUAUUUUAUCAUUACUUUUGUUACAUAAUAAAAUUCUUUGUGUGUUCGAAAGAAAUUGGUGAAGUGUGGUCACGUCUCUUUGAUCACCGCCCUUUUUUAAAUGGGGAAAUAAAAUUCAUGCAGAAAGAGUUCGAGGAAAAGCGUGGUGAUCGCGAAGUUGAAAAUCUAUUUAAUAUUUUAGAACAAUUAACAGAGAUAAAAGAUAGUGAAGCUGACAGAAUUAAUAAGAGUGGUGAAACAGGACUGCCAGUAUUUGGAGAAAAGUUGACUCAAGCCUUAAAUUUACUUGAAGAUACUGAAAAAGACUAUCUUGAAUUCCAGAAGGAGUGUGAGAAAAAACGAGCUGUCAACCGAGAAAAAAGGCAAAAAGAAUGGGAUCAGUUUAUUGAUGAUAUGAACUUCAAAUGUCAAAGAAUUGACAACGCAUUUGAAGAAAAAGAAGAAGAACUAAGAGAUUUGUAUGCAGACCUUAAUCAUAAACUAAAUAUUGCUGAUAAUUAACAAUGGACCUCACAGGAUCCCUUAUUGACACCAAUUUGAGAAUAUACCCUACUAAAGCUUUACUGGAAUUCCUUGAUGCCAUUCCAUCAAAGUAUAAUCCUCCUACAAACAUAUUAAAACUAAUAAACUGUACAGUACAAGAUAAAAAUCAAAUAGAGAAAGAAUCAAAUUCAAAACCUAUACAGCUUAAUGAUGAAGAUAUUAAAAAUGUUAAUAAAGUCAGAAUAGCUAUGCAAAUAGAUGCAGAAGAUAAUACAGAAGAGACUGAAAAAAUUGAAAGUGAGGAUGAUAAAGAUACACAAAUAAAAGAAGAAAAUAAAGAAGUAGGUAAAGAUAAGGAAACAAAAACAACUGAGAAUAAAGAUGACUCAUCAAACAAAGAUAAUAACUGUAAAAAAUCAGUGGAACUCAAGUGCCAAGAAAAAGAAAGAGAAAAUGAAAAAUUCCUAACAACAACAGAUAUAGAUUGGUUGUAUAACUAUGUUUAUGAGAGAAGAGGGGAAGGUAACAAAAAGAUUCCAUAUUUACAUGAACUUCUUAAAGGGGUUCAAGUAGAAAUGCCCAAUAAUAAGGUGAUAAAGAGAAAUCCUGUGUUAGAAGCUAGAUGUGUUAAAUUGAGAGCUCAACAAGAGGCAAGAGAAUAUAGAAAAAUGACUAAAAGUGUGGAUAAUGUUAGAAUGAGAUUUCCAGAAGAUAGUAUAAAUUAUCAAUUAAAACAAGUUAACCGCCAAUUGAUCGCCAUCGGGCAGUUCAUUAUUUCCAUAUUUGCUGGAUUUCUAUUCGGCUUCAGAGGAGUUGAGUGGAUGGUUGGCAAUCUGGACUUUGGGUUUCGACUACUUCUUGGUGUUAUGUGUGCUUUAGUCAUUGCUCUUGCGGAAAUAUAUUUCCUAGCCAAGAAGCUGAAUGAAGAGUUGAAUGUUCCGGAAACCGUUCAACUAGGCGGGCCUCCGAAAUUUGCGGAUGAUCCGAACCAAACAUAUGCGCCGACAAAUAAGGCGAUAGAAAAACAACAUCAGGAUUAAAAAUAUACUUUUAUUACAAUUUUAGUGUUAAGUAAUAAUAUAUUUUCCAGCACAAUCUGUUAAAUUACAAGGGCCUGAAAAUGGUUAUAGUUUUGUUCUUCUGACGUUGCGGUUAGUGUCUACUGUACUAUCUUAAAUAUUGUUGCCAUACGGGUGACGAGUCCUAUUUUCUGAUUGUACAGAAAAUAUAACAAUAUUGUAUAUCUACAUAAUACUAUACCUAUAUUUAAAUUUCUAUUCUUUCAGUAAUAAAAUUGUUUAUAGUGCAAA
rnacentral:misc_RNA from 1 species